AUAGUUCAUCUAGUGGACCAACACUGCAGGAAAGAAUCUCAUAACUAUUUUGAUUAUGGCUACUGUGUGUUUGUUUUAUUAUCUGAACAAAUCAUUGAGUUCCUUUAAUUGUCAUGUCACUGUUUGUUAAUCAGUUACUUUAUUGUAGAAGAAAAUGAAUGGGGGGAAAUGAAAACUAAAUAUGAAAGAAUUCCAUGUGAAUGCAAAAAAGAAUCCCACCACUUAAAAAGGCAUUAAUCCCUAUACAUUUUUAAGCUUUAAUGUAUCUUGUUUGAAGUACGAAAUUUAAGCAAAGAAAAUUUAACCCAUGAACUGAUGUUCAUGAUGUCCAGUUAGUUUGGACGGUUAUUGCCCAUCCAAACAUUUGCCAUACCUCCUGCACAGAUGAGGUAUGGCAAAUGGUAUGAAUACAAAAAACAAAACAAAAAAACCCACCAAAAAAAACCAAAAAAAAAAACACGUGGACACUGCUAACAUAAUGGACAGGUUUUUGACGGGGCUCCCACAUAAACUCAAAGCAGAAGAUAAAGCAUCGACGAAUAUGUUUCCAAACCAGCUUCCUUCCAAGCCAAAUACUAGAAAUAGGAUGAAGCAUAUCUUUCUAUUGGCUUCGCCUGCACAAGUGCAAAGGUAGGUCUCCCCGGCAGAAUUAGUUUCCCCUGCAUCGGGAGCACACACUGGGCUGUCCAAAUCCUGACAAACAGUAUCCCACAUUCUGGAUUUUUAGUUCACAAACACUUCUUACUUCUUGACUAACUUAGGCUGACCAGCCAUCCUCUUUUCCCCGGACAUGUCCUCUUUUUACAUUCUGUCCGGGGCGUCUGUGGGGAUUUUCGAGAUUGAUAAAAAUGUCUGGGUUUUCCUAUAGGCCUACAGAGGACCCAUGUGUUUGACGUCAUCCCCGAGCUGCUGCUUUGUUGCUUGUUCUGCACUCACAGAUGGGACAGACAGCGUGCAGCAAUACGCCUAAUGAUGUUUAAAAGAUCCCAAAGCGCAACUGCAUCUUUUCAGAUGAACUGCAAAAUAAAUUUCUCUCGUGCUGACACAGUGCUGGUAAUUUUUCUUAUGCAGAUGAGGCAUUAUUUCUGUACUAUUAUUAAUUCCAGAGGCUUUUAUGUUAUUUUUUUUUUUUUGCACUUGUUGACUUGUAAAAGCCUAUAUGACACUUUUUAUUUCACAAUUCAUUAACUUAAACCAAAAGCUUAAAUAAAUUUUACAUGACUGUGUGGUACAAUAUUUGGCUGUAUUCCCAGUAUAUAUACUGUACAACUGCUGACCAACUAAUUAACUUUCAACUUUCUCUUACGCUUUGCUCAGGUGGCCUCAGUAAUUCACAUGAUGUCUUAAUGAGGUUUCCCACAUUGGCCCCCGUAAAGAUGUUAAAUGGACUAGUUCCUUUAUAAUGCUUUGUAACUCUGCCUAAGCGCUCAAAUCUAUGUCCACUUUUUUCUAU
ensembl:lncRNA